rnacentral:rRNA from 1 species
CCCCAGUAACGGCGAGUGAAGCGGCAAAAGCUCAAAUUUGAAAUCCUGCGGGAAUUGUAAUUUGAAGGUUUCGUGGUCUGAGUCGGCCGCGCCCAAGUCCAUUGGAACAUGGCGCCUGGGAGGGUGAGAGCCCCGUAUGGCGCACGCCGACUCUUUGCACCGCGGCUCCGACGAGUCGAGUUGUUUGGGAAUGCAGCUCUAAGUGGGUGGUAAAUUCCAUCUAAAGCUAAAUAUUGGCGAGAGACCGAUAGCGAACAAGUACAGUGAUGGAAAGAUGAAAAGCACUUUGAAAAGAGAGUGAAACAGCACGUGAAAUUGUUGAAAGGGAAGGGCUUGCAAGCAGACACGGUUUUACCGGGCCAGCGUCGAAAAGGGGGGAGGAACAAGAACUCGAGAAUGUGGCGCGCACCUUCGGGUGCGCGUGUUAUAGCUCGUGUUGACGCCUCCAUCCUUUUUCGAGGCCUGCGAUUCUAGGACGCUGGCGUAAUGGUUGCAAGCCGCCCGUCUUGAAACACGGAC